UGGGGAUUCCCCACCCUCCUACUGAGGAGGGGAGGUGUAGGUAUUUGGGGUUUAUUCUUGGGGGUUUUGUGAGGGAAGAUAAACAAGUGUAGUUUUUUUCUGCCAUUUGCAGAGUUGGGAUGGGGGGAUCCAGAUUGGGAGGGUUUGGAACGUUUGGGAGGGUUUGAAAGUAUGUUUCCAAGCACAAUUCAAAGUGUUGGUGCUGGCCUUUAAAGCCCUAAAUGGCCUUGGCCCAGUAUACCUGAGGGAGCAUCUCCACCCCAUCGUUCAGCCCAGACACCGAGGUCCAGAGCUGAGGGCCUUCUGGCGGUUCCCUCAAUGCGAGAAGUGAGGUUACAGGGAACCAGGCAGAGGGCCUUCUCAGUAGUGGCGCCCGCCCUGUGGAAUGCCCUCCCCUCAGAUGUCAAAGAAAUAAAUAACUAUCGGGUUCCUUCCGAACUUCCGGGUUGGUGCCUCCAGGCAAUGGCGGAGUUCCUCCGAUCGGGAGGAAUUUGCUCCGCGGAAAUUAGGGUCUGACCGCCACGGUGAAGGCGGAGACCCACUGAAAUCACAGGCGGGAGAAGCCUGUGAACUUGGGAUUCGGCUGGCACCCUUUGCGCCUCCCCUACUCGCGGGGAAACCCUGAUUUGGGGAUCCGGAGCGAAGUGGGGUGAGUGGCACGGUGCUUUGAAUUGACUGCUUCUUUCACGGAGUGAAGCCGCAUCGCUGUUGCUGGAGAGUGCUGACUUUUUCCUGUGGACAAUUGGAUUUUAAACAACUACCCGUGAGUAGAACGGAAAAUUAGAUCCUUAAAUUCAUUAAUUUGGCAUCGAAACGGGAAGGUUCUAAACAGGAAGUCCGCCUUCCUUUUUUGUAAACAGAUUGAAGCAAAGAAGUUGCAAGUUAAACCCUUGGAAAGUUUAUUUUUGUAAAGGAUUAAAUCUCCAUCGGUUAAAACUAUUAAACCCCCCUUGGAAGCAGGAGAAGAGGGGGGAAAUUUUGGACCUAGUGAGCCUGCAGGAGACAGUGAAAAACCAAAUUACCACUGCUCCGAACCAUGGGCUGCCAGAAAGAGUGACGUUUUUUGAUAGCUAGCAAUAAGAGAAAUAUAUUGUUUCCAUUGUAGUCAUCUGCGUUUAAAAAAUAGGAAAAGAAACUACCUUUAUAGUUUAAACUGUGUUUGAAAGGAUUGAUACAAGUGGAGACUGUUUCCCUCUAGAGGGAGCUUUUGAAACAGUUACAAGAGUGGGGCUGGGGUUUUUCCAGUUGCAAGAUAAGAACUGUAUGAAAUAGAGAUCGACCUUGGACUUUAAGAAUGUUGACAGAAGGAGCCUUAGUGACUGUAUUAUGUAAGAUAAGCUAUUCGUUGGAACAGCUCCACAAGAAGACAGACGCUAUGAAUACCAAACUUGAGAACUUGGGACAAAAAGUGACUAAUUUGGAACAAAAAGUGACCAUUAAUACAGAAAUUGUUCAGGAUUUGACACAGGAACCUACUUUGACAGGACAAACUGGGGAGAAGACGAAGGAGAAUGUUGGUGUUGUUAAACCUAAAAUAAUACAAGUGGAAGCCCCAGUUUUACAGAGGCAAACUGAGGACUAUAAGUGGAGGCCUUUUAUGAAUGAAUAUAGAAAAAGUCAGAAUUUGAAGAUUGGAGCCCUGUUUGGAUUGAAGAAGGAAGGUUGGAUAAACUCUUUCAUGCAGAGAUUUACUGACCUUUGGGUCCUGAAUCUGGGUCAGGAGGUGAUUGGAGUUGUGGGGGCCUUUGGAUCUGGGGGAGCCUUGAAACAUGAUUUGAGAUAUUGUAUGGACACUGGUUUUAGCUGUGGAGAGUUGGUUGGUCUGUCGAGAUUGAAUGGGGGCAUGGUUGGGUCAGGGCCCCCCUAAGACCUGCGCUUCAGCCCCCUCAGCAUAAAGAAUAUGAAGAAAAACUGCAGAAGGGACUUGGAAAAGAUUUAAGAGCCUCGGACAGAAGAUCUCCAGGUUGAUGAACUAUAUGGAAUGGACGGAAAUGACUGGCAGAAUCCGAGACCAGGGAGAAGAGAUGGUGGUAGAAGAUUGGGAAAGUUUAAAGUUUAUAUAUAGAAAUAUUGUAAAUUUAAUGAGUGUUAGAAAAUUGUUGGAAUGAAAUUUUAUGGCUUUAGCAGAAAUGUUAUAAGGAGUUAGGGAUAAAUAAGUAUUUCAGUAUUAAUGGAAAAUAAGGUACAAAAUAUGUUAAGAUAUUCAUAAUGACAAAAAUAGAGAAAGAUGGAAAGGAAUUGCUGAAACAAGUAAUAGAAGUGGAAUACAAAAAGGGAGGUGAGAGGAGGUCGAUGAAAUAAGGGAAUGAAAGAUAGAGUAAUGAAAUGGUAUGAUAUAUGUUUUUAAAUUGUUGUUCUUUUGCUUUGUUUAGUUUAGUGUGUUAAGGUUGUGUUUUGUAUUGUUUAUUGUAUUGUAUUGUAUUGUUUUUUCUUUUCUUUCUCUUUUUUUCCCUUCUCUGCUCUAUUUUGUCUUUUUCUUUCGCCUAUUUUCUUCUUUCUUCUUUUCUUGUAAGUUUUAAAAGCAAUAAAGAUUAUUAUUAUUUUUUAAAAAAGAAAUAAAUAACUAUCUGACGUUUAGAAGACAUCUGAAGGCAGCCCUGUUUAUGGAAGUUUUUAAUGACUGAUGUUUUAAUGUAUUUUUAAUCUUUUGCUGGAAGCCGCCCAGAGUGGCUGGGGAAAACCAGCCAGAUGGGUGGGGUAUAAAUAACACUGGGCAACAAUUUUUUACUUUUUGAAUGUUGUCUAGAUUUCUACAACUGAUUUAGGGUAUUUUUGCACUGCUGAAUCAGGAAAUGGCAUCCGUUUCUCUCCAUCAGGUCAGGUUUACUGUAAACUGAAUGGUGGGCAUUGAUAAAGGUAAGUACAUGUAAAUUGCAUAUUGCUUCACCAUUUUUCAAACUUCAGGGCUUGAACUUCCAUUUCUUGGAACUCCUGGAAUGCUCAGCGGCAGGGAGGUCUCUCUUCAGAGUCCAACAGUAGUCAGCCAUCAUGACUGCGUCCCAGCGACCCUGAUACCUGGUCUCCAUCUCUUUCAUGUCCUGAUGGAAUCUCUCCCCCUGCUCGUCACUCAUUGAACCCAGGUUCUCAGGAAACCGGUCCAUAUGUGAAAAUAGGUAGUGCAUCUUGACGCUCAUGUUGCAGCCCAGGUUUCUGAAAGCAGUCAGCAUGUUGUUGACAAGUUCUGCGUAGUUUCUGGCCUUAUUGUUGCCAAGAAAGUUCUUCACUACCAGAACAAAUGCCUUCCACGCUUCCAGUUCCACUUCGUUCAUUGAGUUUCCGAACUCUGGAUCUCUGAUGAGCUGACGGAUCUGAGGACCGUCAAAGAUGCCAGCUUUCAACUUCUCCAUGGUGAAUCCUGGAAAAGCCUGGCACAAGUAAGUGAAGCAGUCACCAUCCUUGUCCAGAGCCUUGGUGAACUGCUUGAUUAAGCCGAGCUUGAUGUGCAGUGGUGGGAAGAGUAUUCUGUCUCUGUCCACCAGAGGGUCGUUGAUGACGUUCCUUUUUCUGCAAAGCACCAAUUCCUCCUGCACAGGCCAGUCCUUCUUCGUGUAAUGCUGAGCACGGUCCCUACUAUCCCACAUGCACAGAAAACAUGGGUACUUGGUGAAGCCAGACUGUUGUCCCAACAAAAAGUUCACCAUCUUCAGGUCAACACAAAUAAACCACUUAUGCUGAUCAUAACCAAUUUUCUCCAGCACAUACUUCACCGCUUCAUAGUUCUCCUUCAGUGUACUCGAGUGAGCCAGGGGUAUAGAGGCAAACUGGUUGCCGUUGUGUAGCAGAACACAUUUCAGUGAUCGCUUGCUGCUGUCAAUGAACAGUCUCCAAUCUUUGGGUUCAUACUGUGGCACUCCAAGCUUGAGCAGAAGCUGUGCAACAUCUGCACAGUACACCAAGUCCUUCUCUUCCUAGAAAAAAGGGAGGUACUCUUGAUGCCUGUUGCGGAAGAAGCUGAUGCGAGCACUGUCAGAGAGGAGGCUUUUUUCCUUCAAUCUGGAUGCCAACAGUUCGGCAGAGUCCUUUGACAAGCUGAGGUCUCGAACUAGAUCAUUCAACUCCUUUUGGGAAAAUGGAUGUAGAGCAUCAUCUUCAAGAACCACUUCUUCUUCUUCAUGUCCUUCAACACUGGCAGCAUCUUCAUCACUAAUGUCAGGAAGUUCUCCGAAGAUAGGCACUGGAAUUUCAUCACAAUGAGCUACAGGACGACGUGCUGAUUGAAGAUCAGGAUACUUGAGGCUGCUCCGGUUCUUUCUGUUGAUCCCAGCCGCACCAAUUUAUGGAAGACUUCGAGGUUUUAUGACUUCAAACUGAUCCCUUUUCGACAUAAUCACCCAGAACUAUCAGACCUGAAUACUUCUUGUCAUUAAAAUAAUCAUCUCCAAUCAAAACAAUUAUUCGACAUGGCAUUUUACCCCCACCAACUUCUUCUAAAAUGUUCCACACAAGCGUACAUGUGAACAAAAACGUAAAAAAACCUGACCUGACUGAGCAAAACCAAUGUGAUUUUUGGAUUCAGCGCAUCAGAUUCGUCCUAAAUCAACUGAAAAAACGCAGACAACAAAUUUGUUGUUGACCAGUGUAAUACAUUAUUAUUAUUAUUAUUAUUAUUAUUAUUAUUGGAAUAGGUAGGUUAAUUUUGGGAGGGUGACCACUAAUGGUGGGCUAAAAUUGCCUCCCUAUGUUAACACUGCUAUCCCCCACACACAUACCCGAAUAUGCCAGAGGCAAAAGUUGUGAAUCAUUCUUUCCCAGAACACAGCUGAAAGAGGGAGUUGCAGCAGCAACAAGAAAGGACAGGACAAUAUAAUUGCACCCGCUGCUUACCCACUGUGGCCGAGGGGGUAAUAAAGAGCUGGAGAUGGAAACCCACAAUCUAGCACAGCAGUAGCUCCUCUUUAAAGCAGGCAGAGCCCUGCUAAGUUCUCUCCUCCGUGCUAGAAUUCUGGGGCAUGCCAGGAAGCAGUUAAAGAACAGCUGCAUCGCCUGCCAAAAGGAACACCCUGAGCAUCUUCAGGCUUAGCUGUCAAAGCCCAUAAAGGAUUAAUGAUGCUGUCUUGUUAUCUACAGGAGACAAUUGGCAGAGGGUCUGAGAGAGGCACCACCACCUUUCUUGUGUAAGAGACGCCCUGCGUAGCGGCAGAAGUUAAAACAGUUUCAGCACCAUCUGCAUUUCUUAGCCAGAUGCCAGAAGGGGAGAGAAACAUCGCACACAUCAAGAAAGGCAGCCUGGUGUAUCUAUGAACCACUUCAAAUUGACUGGAGCAAUGACAGUGGUUCGGAGCUAGCUAACGCAACAAAACUGCCUCGGUGGAUGCAAAGGUCAAGUGGGCCACGGCCAAAUUUGAAACAGGGCCAUGCGGCUUUGUGAAAUUGCACCUACUUGCGUUGGCACAGAGAAUGCAGCUGGAGCUGCAAACUGGGCAUGUAAUGAAGCAACAACAGCCAAGAUAAAAUGGACUUGGGAGAACGUCACUCAACAAUAUCCCCUUGCGCUUGUUUGUGUGUGUUGGCCAUCAAAGGCAGCUUUUAGCACUCAUAUUUUUCAAUCUGUGCACAGAUUUUUCACUUUUUGUGCUGUGGGGGUCUGGGAAUGGCAACUAGAUUAUCUGGAGGAACCUCUGGACAUUAGUCAGCUGACACAGAACUUAAAGGCAGUUGGCGCCCUCAGUCAGUAUUGUAGGGCAGCCUAGCCAGGGCUGCAAAAUGGAUGUGAAAGAUCAUGUAAUACAUUGAAAUUUAAAGUAGCUUUACAUUCCAUCAGGUUUUCUCUUCCAUUUGGAAUAAACAGAUUUUUAAUGUGGUUAAUGAAACCCUUAGAGGCUUGGUGUCAGGG